CCACCUCUGGCCCCCGUCAUUGCCCCCCCCCACCUCUGGCCCCCAUCUUCGGCCCUCCCACCUUGGGUCACCUGUCAUUGACCCUGAACUAAGGCUCUCUAUCUCUGGGCCCCUGGCUUUUCCAUCUCUAAUUGUGGGUGGCACUUAGUAUUGAGCUGGGGGCAGAGCUGACUGUGGUGUCAGGUGACUAACAGGGCGCAGGAUGAAACUUGUGGCGCGUGAUGAUUCCAUGGGAUGAAUUCAUCUCUACUGCUGAUGCCACAAGCUUUAAUGUCCCUGGCACCUCGAAGGCUCACCUUUCAGUUCACUUACUAUGGGCUAUCUGCAUUAUUUCUAUCAUACAUUCUUUCUUAUGCUUUUCAGCUGGUGUUUGAUCUUAGGAAAAUGUGGAGAUUUUGCUAAGAAAUCUGUGAACCUAUUUCUUUCCUUCAACGCCCAACCACGGACUUCUUUGAGGAAUUGUGUCCAGAAUUCAGCAUAUGGUAAAGCAAAGACGGUGCCUCUACAUACCAAAAGGUAAUGUUUGAUUUGAGAGAACCUUUCAUCUUGCUCCCGAGUCUGUUUUAGAAAAAAAGAAUUGAAAUGUACUGAUUAAUAUUCUCUGUGUUUUACUCCCGGACUGCACUGAAUCAACUCCACGUGGAGACCUGGGUCUCAUGUUCCAGUUAGAAGAAGUAGGAAGCCAUCGAUCAAGACUAAGAAGCUGCUUGCACAGUGAAUCCCACGCAAAACCCGUAGAACUGACUCUCCUAAUACCACAGACAGAGAUGGAAAAUGGAUUCUCUGCUCUAUUUUGCUCUUCUUUUUUUGCUGUAAAAACUUUGAAAAAUGAAUAAAAAAGGAAUAUAUGAAAAAGUA